CUCUGAGACAGGUGCUGCAUGGCUGUCGUCAGCUCGUGUUGUGAAAUGUUGGGUUAAGUCCCGCAACGAGCGCAACCCUUAUCCUUGUUUGCCAGCGAGUAAUGUCGGGAACUCCAGGGAGACUGCCGGUGAUAAACCGGAGGAAGGUGGGGACGACGUCAAGUCAUCAUGGCCCUUACGAGUAGGGCUACACACGUGCUACAAUGGCGCAUACAGAGGGCAGCAAGCUAGCGAUAGUGAGCGAAUCCCAAAAAGUGCGUCGUAGUCCGGAUUGGAGUCUGCAACUCGACUCCAUGAAGUCGGAAUCGCUAGUAAUCGUGAAUCAGAAUGUCACGGUGAAUACGUUCCCGGGCCUUGUACACACCGCCCGUCACACCAUGGGAGUGGGCUGCAAAAGAAGUGGGUAGUUUAACCUUUCGGGGAGGACGCUCACCACUUUGUGGUUCAUGACUGGGGUGAAGUCGUAACAAGGUAGCCCUAGGGGAACCUGGGGCUGGAUCACCUCCUUAUACGAAGAUA
rnacentral:rRNA from 1 species